AGCUUGGGUUGGGUUGGGUUGGGUUGGGUUGAGCUUUGAGUUGGUGUGUUGUGCUUGGGUUGGCUCUCAACCUAUCCCAACCCUUAGGGUUGCAACUUUACUAAUAAUGAGCCAAAUCAAGAUAGGAUUUUCAUCUCUUAUCUUGUGCAUGCCCAUAUCCUAUAACCAAAUAUGUCCUAGACUUCUAAGGAUAUAAGACAAUGCGUGUGUUUUUAUUCUAGAAUUGUUUUAAGGAAUUAGUUGAGGUAGGUUUCAACAUUUAUGGAGUUGUGAAUAAUUGUCUAUUGUUGUACCGAUGAAUGAUGCAAAUAUACUUUUUUUCAAUAAGCAAAUAGAAAAUACAUUAAGCAACACUUAACAAAAAAGAGGACACAACCUAUGUACACAAGUGGUAUAUAAUAGGCACCAAGAAUAGACAAAAACCAAAAACUUCUAGGCAAGACAACCACCGUAAAAAUUUACCUAUCCACAACUAAGGCUUCUAAAAAAUCCAACACCAUGCAAGUCUCUGAUUCCCACUUGGGAUAAGGGCAUUGCAAUAUAAUGAAAAUCUCUUUUGAUUUCCUCGUUGAAAAUCCUACUAUUACGCUAUCUCCACAUGCACUAAAACAAGCAGUGAGGAGCCAUAUGCCAAACCCCUAAUCUUCCAAGCCCAAAGGAGAUCUUUCAUAGAAGAUGGAACAAUCCACCACAUCCCAAAAAUUGUUCAUAGUAAAUUCCAUAAUUUUAUGGUGAUAUCUCACUUGACUAAAAGGUUACAUUUUUUUACCAUCACGUAUUCUCUCCUCGAGAGAGUAUAUAAGGUUAGGAUAUUUCCCCACACUACCUCCUUGGCAAAAAAACUAGUCCUCAAAAGAGGUGUGAGAACCCUAAAUUUUUAUGGUAGUGAAUCUCAUUAUUGUAGGACAUGAGGAAUUGUAGUAUGACUUUGGUUAGAAGUGUCCCUUUGUAUCUUCUUUCCACCAAAAGCUGUCUAGCUGUCUAUCCUUAUUGCUUGCACCUCCACAAAAUGAUUUAGCUCCGUAAAAAGAGUUAUCAUCCCAUCUUUUAAUCCUGAACUUGCCUUUUGAACUACAUCAGCAAUUGACAUCCACACCUCCCAUAGAUCUGCCACAAUUGCAUUCUUAGCAGAGGUAACCUUCAAAGGCAAGGGGAAAGCCUCUUUCAAAGGACUCCGACCCAUUGAAAGUUGGUUCUCACACCUUUUCUUACUAAAUAGUUGUUCUAACAUUGAACUUCUCCCAACCUCUUUUAAUGUUUUUCCAUAAACCCGCCCUAGAAGCCUUUCCUUUCUAGAAUUCACCACCCCCCAUCCAUCCUACUAAACUUGCUUUAGAUUAUCUUCCUUUAUAGAGUAUCAUCUUCAUGAACACAUCUCUAUAGCCAUUUGCCCAAUAAGUCAUUGUUUAGAACCUUUAACCUUCUAAUUCCCAAGUCUCCAAAUCUUUGUAAAUUGUCAUCUAGUUCACUAAAUGCAUUUUCCUUCCCUCUGAAUUACUUUCUCAUAAAAAGUCUCUUAUGUUUUUUCUUUAGUGAUUUGCACUUUCCUUGUCAUUGCAAAUAGGGACAUAAAAUAAAUAGUAAGACUCGAGAGGUUUCUCUUUAUAAGAGUUGACUUGCCUCCCUUGACCAAGUGUCUAAUAUAUUUUUGAAUCUCUCCUUAAUUGAGUCUCACACUACAUUGUACUUAUGAAGUGCUCUCAAAGACGACCCAGGAUAUGAAGCAGGGAGCCUUACAACUAAAUAAAGAAGCUAAUUUGUCCACCCCUCCACCCCACUAGUUGGAAUUAGAUGCUAGCUCAAAGUUAAGUGAAACCAAUCUCUAGAAUCUAAACAGAUAGAUAUUAUUUUUAAAGAAUGGAAGUGAGUCAUCUACAAGCAAUAAACAAGAGACUCUCAUCCAUUCCCUCCCUCUCUCAUCUACCUUAAAACCACUGAUAAAACCCCCGUUCUCUACUUUAGAUAUUGGGCAACUAAGAGCUUUCAUAAUCAACACAAACAAAUAGGGGAGAGGGGAUCACUCCACUAUAAACCUCUAAAACUUUGAAAAAACUAAGUAAUGGUACCAUUUACAAGGAAUGACAUUCUCAAGGUAGAAACGCAAAAGUGUGUCCACCUCCUCUAUCUUAACUUGAAACCCAUUUUUUCCAUAAUAAAUAGGACGAAUUUCCAAUUAACAUGAUCAUAGCCAUUUUUAAUAUCCACUUUUCAAACUAAACCUUUCUUCAAGGGUGUGUUUGGGAUGUUUUAAAAAAUAAUUCUCAAAAAAAAAAUAAAAAUUUUGAGAACAAUUCAUAAAAACAGUUUCUAAUGUUCAGUAUAGUAUUUGAAGGGAGAAUCAAUUGAUCAUAUUCUUCUUCAUUGCUCAAAAGCAAGGAUUUUAUGGAACCUAUUGUUUUCCUUAUUUAGUUGGCAUGACUCCUUUGUAGGGAAAGGUUUGGAAAACUACUCGCCUUUACAUUUUUUUUUGAACAAUUUGACAAGAGUAAUGAAUAAGAUUUUGAAGAUAAGGAAUAGAAUGAUCAAAAGUUAAACUUCCAAUUUGUUAAAAGUCUGAAUGCAACUUUCCUUGUUUUGGUCCCAAAAAAAGGGGGAGUAGAAGACUUAAGGGACUUCAGGCCUAUUAGUUUGGUGGGAGGGCUGUAUAAGUGGCUGGCUAAAGUGCUAGCCAAUAGGCUAAAGCUGGUGGUGGGUAAGGUGGUCUCUAAGGCUCAAAAUGCCUUUGUGGAAGGAAGACAAAUCCUGGAUGUUGUCCUUGUUGCUAAUGAAGUCAUGGAUUCAAUAUUGAAGAGCAAUGAAGUUGUGGUGAUGUGUAAGUUGGAUAUAGAAAAGGCGUAUGAUCAUGUGGACUGGUCCUUCUUGUUUUCAGUUAUGGGUAUGAUGGGUUUCGGGGAGAAAUGGCUUCGGUGGAUGCAACGGUGUAUUUCCACAACUAGCUUUUUUGUUUUGGUUAAUGGGUCUCUUUUAGGUUUCUUCCAAAGUUCUAAGGGUUUAAGACAGGAGGACCCCCUCUCUCCGUACCUAUUUGUGAUUGCUAUGGAGGCUCUUAGUUGCCUCCUAAGGAGUGCCGUAAAUGAGGGUUUUUUGUUAGCCUGCAAGGCGAGGGGUAGAGGUGGUGAGGGGGUUCAGGUGUCUCACUUACUAUUCGCUGAUGAUACUUUAGUUUUCUAUGGCGCUUCCAAGGAUUAUAUGAUGUAUUUAAGUUGGGUUCUAAUGUGGUUUGAGGCCAUUUCUUGGUUGAUAAUUAAUUUGGACAAAAGUGAGCUAAUCUCGGUGGGUGGUGUGGAAAAUGCGGAGGCUUUGGCUGCAAAACUUGGGUGUAAGGUUGGAAGUCUUCCAUCCACUUACUUGGGAUUGCCAUUAGGUGCACCUCAUAGAUCCGUGGCUGUUUGGGGUGGAGUGGAGGAGAGAUUGUGAAAGAAAUUGGCUAGGUGGAAGAGCCAAUACAUCUCCAAAGGAGGGAGGAUCACCUUGAUUCAGAGCACUUUGGCGAGUAUGCCCAUUUACUUCAUGUUUGUGUUUGCUUUGCCCAAAAAGGUCAGAUUGAGGAUAGAGCAAAUUCAGAGGGAUUUUUUGUGGGGAGGCGGGGCCCUUGAGCGGAAACCUCAUCUUUUUGGGUGGGGUUUGGUUUGCCUAGAUAAAAACAAAGGGGGGUUGGGGGUAAAAUGCCUUUCUACCCUCAAAAAGGCAUUUUUGUGUAAAUGGAACUGGAGAUUUGCUAAUGAGAGAGGGGCUUUUUGGAAUCAAGUGAUUAGGGGAAAGUUUGGGGAGAAGCAAGGGGGUUGGUGUUCCAAGGAAGUGAGGGGUGGUUAUGGUGUGGGGUUGUGGAAAACAAUUAGGAGGGAGUGGAUUGUUGUAAGCAGUAGGCUCUCUUUUUUGGUGGGGAAUGGACAAAGUGUGAAAUUCUAGAAAGAUAGAUGGUGUGGGGAUUCACCUCUUUGUGUUUCUUUUCCCACUUUAUUUGCUUUAGUUGUCUUCAAGGAUGCUUGGGUCAAAGAUGUGUGGUGUUCCACUGAGGGAGGGGGGAGUUGGAGGCUUGGAGCCCGCACUUCUCUAGACCGUUUAAUGAUUGGGAGAUGGAUGAUGUGCACAAGUGUUUUUUGGGCCUUAAUGGGUAGAGAGUUCAGUAGGAAGUGGAAGAUAGGGUGCUUUGGAGAGAGACUAAAUGUGAGAAGUUUUUUGUUAAGUCUCUCUACAAAGCAUUAGUUUCAGACCCUCCAGUGUCUUUCCCUUCGGCGUCAUUUGGAAAGUUUGGGUGCAACCUAGAGUGAGUUUUUUUUUGGGUGGGAAGCUUCGUGGGGAAAAGCUCUUACUUUGGACCAACUUCAGAAGAGAGGAUGGCCUCUAGCGAACAGAUGCUACCUAAGCCAAAGGCACGAAGAAUCAAUAGAUCACAUUCUUCUCCAUUGCGCCAAGGCUAGGACUCUUUGGGCGUUGCUUUUCUUUUUUUGGGGUGCAGUGGGUGCUGCCAGCCACAGUUAAGGCGACACUUUUGGGCUAGGACGGGUCUUUUGUGGGAAAAAAAAAAAAGAGAGAGGAAGUUUGGAGAGUAGGCCCACUAUGCCUUUUUUGGUUGGUUUGGAAGGCAAGGAACAAAAUUGUGUUUGAGGAAGAUGUGUUGUCAAUCCAAAGACUUAAGAGUUCGUUUGUAUAUUUUCUUUGGUAGGAGACGAUAUUAUUCAUAAAAGAUGGUCCUUUGACUUUAGUUGAUUUUAUUGGUUGGGUGGGAACCCGUUGAGGGUGGGGUUCGGGUUGCACCUCCGUUCUUGGCAACCAGCUAGGGAGCGGGGGUGUUUCUUCUUUGUAUUCUUUAAGUCGUUGUUUUGGUGGCUUUUUCAAUACAGUAUUUCUCCUUUACUUAUAAAAGAAAAAAAAAAAAAAAGUUAAAACUUUCGUUCCUAAGUAAUCUUUCAGCUUGGGUUAGCAACUUAGCAUGUACAUAAGUGAAGAUUCAAUGCCUUUGAUUUUGUAGAGUGGGUAGGAUCUUGUUGAGUGUCAUAUGUAUUUUUGUGUACUAUCAUUUGAGGCCUUUCUUUAGGCGCUCCUUGUAUUUGUCCUAUGUGCUUUGGUAUUCUUUUUUCUAUUACUACUUUAUAAAUACCUAUCUUUACCUAUAUACAAAAAAAAAAAAAAAGCUUAGUCUUAUACCUUUUAAUCAAAUUUUGUAUUUUUGUGAAGUAUUUCUCAUCCUUCUCUUGUACUAAUUGUCAU
rnacentral:lncRNA from 1 species